UUUAUGGAGAGUUUGAUCCUGGCUCAGGAUGAACGCUGGCGGCGUGCCUAAUACAUGCAAGUCGAGCGAACAGAUAAGGAGCUUGCUCCUUUGACGUUAGCGGCGGACGGGUGAGUAACACGUGGGUAACCUACCUAUAAGACUGGGAUAACUUCGGGAAACCGGAGCUAAUACCGGAUAAUAUUUCGAACCGCAUGGUUCGAUAGUGAAAGAUGGUUUUGCUAUCACUUAUAGAUGGACCCGCGCCGUAUUAGCUAGUUGGUAAGGUAACGGCUUACCAAGGCGACGAUACGUAGCCGACCUGAGAGGGUGAUCGGCCACACUGGAACUGAGACACGGUCCAGACUCCUACGGGAGGCAGCAGUAGGGAAUCUUCCGCAAUGGGCGAAAGCCUGACGGAGCAACGCCGCGUGAGUGAUGAAGGUCUUCGGAUCGUAAAACUCUGUUAUUAGGGAAGAACAUACGUGUAAGUAACU
rnacentral:rRNA from 1 species